rnacentral:rRNA from 1 species
UAGUGAUUCCUACGGGAGGCAGCAGUGGGGAAUAUCGGACAAUGGGCGAAAGCCUGAUCCAGCAAUGCCGCGUGAGUGAUGAAGGCCUUAGGGUUGUAAAGCUCUUUUACCAGGGAUGAUAAUGACAGUACCUGGAGAAUAAGCUCCGGCUAACUCCGUGCCAGCAGCCGCGGUAAU